rnacentral:tRNA from 1 species
UCCCCGAUAGCUCAGUUGGUAAAGAAUCUGCCUAUAAUGCAGGAGAUCCCUGUUUGAUACCUGGGUCAGGGAA